GUUGCGGCGGAGGGUGAGUAACACGUGGGUAACCUGCCUGUAAGACUGGGAUAACUCCGGGAAACCGGGGCUAAUACCGGAUGGUUGUUUGAACCGCAUGGUUCAGACAUAAAAGGUGGCUUCGGCUACCACUUACAGAUGGACCCGCGGCGCAUUAGCUAGUUGGUGAGGUAACGGCUCACCAAGGCGACGAUGCGUAGCCGACCUGAGAGGGUGAUCGGCCACACUGGGACUGAGACACGGCCCAGACUCCUACGGGAGGCAGCAGUAGGGAAUCUUCCGCAAUGGACGAAAGUCUGACGGAGCAACGCCGCGUGAGUGAUGAAGGUUUUCGGAUCGUAAAGCUCUGUUGUUAGGGAAGAACAAGUGCCGUUCAAAUAGGGCGGCACCUUGACGGUACCUAACCAGAAAGCCACGGCUAACUACGUGCCAGCAGCCGCGGUAAUACGUAGGUGGCAAGCGUUGUCCGGAAUUAUUGGGCGUAAAGGGCUCGCAGGCGGUUUCUUAAGUCUGAUGUGAAAGCCCCCGGCUCAACCGGGGAGGGUCAUUGGAAACUGGGGAACUUGAGUGCAGAAGAGGAGAGUGGAAUUCCACGUGUAGCGGUGAAAUGCGUAGAGAUGUGGAGGAACACCAGUGGCGAAGGCGACUCUCUGGUCUGUAACUGACGCUGAGGAGCGAAAGCGUGGGGAGCGAACAGGAUUAGAUACCCUGGUAGUCCACGCCGUAAACGAUGAGUGCUAAGUGUUAGGGGGUUUCCGCCCCUUAGUGCUGCAGCUAACGCAUUAAGCACUCCGCCUGGGGAGUACGGUCGCAAGACUGAAACUCAAAGGAAUUGACGGGGGCCCGCACAAGCGGUGGAGCAUGUGGUUUAAUUCGAAGCAACGCGAAGAACCUUACCAGGUCUUGACAUCCUCUGACAAUCCUAGAGAUAGGACGUCCCCUUCGGGGGCAGAGUGACAGGUGGUGCAUGGUUGUCGUCAGCUCGUGUCGUGAGAUGUUGGGUUAAGUCCCGCAACGAGCGCAACCCUUGAUCUUAGUUGCCAGCAUUCAGUUGGGCACUCUAAGGUGACUGCCGGUGACAAACCGGAGGAAGGUGGGGAUGACGUCAAAUCAUCAUGCCCCUUAUGACCUGGGCUACACACGUGCUACAAUGGACAGAACAAAGGGCAGCGAAACCGCGAGGUUAAGCCAAUCCCACAAAUCUGUUCUCAGUUCGGAUCGCAGUCUGCAACUCGACUGCGUGAAAGCUGGAAUCGCUAGUAAUCGCGGAUC
rnacentral:rRNA from 1 species